rnacentral:lncRNA from 1 species
UUUGAAAGAGUUGACACGAGUUAGAGUGGAAGACCACCCCUAAGUCAACAUUGAUGGAUAAAAAAGAAAGGUGGGACAAUGGAAAUGCUGAUUAAGUAGUGGGGCCUUUCCCCACAUGAUGCAUCAUGAGAGCCCCUCUCUCAUUUCAUAAGCAAUUCCUCGAAUUUUGCAUUGAGGGCAAGGUGAUAGUGGAAAAGGGAGGCAAUCUUAUGGUUCCUUUUCUAACCUACACAAGAAGGAAGAGGAAAAGGUGAAGACAAAUAAUGCCAACCCAUUUUGAGGUAUAUUUCGUGGAAACCAUUGUAUUUUCAUUAGAAGCAUAAGUGCAAAUGUGCCAUUAAGGCCUCUAGUAGAAGCAAAAUAACUAAUACAUAAGCAAUGAUAAAGUUAUCAACAUUGACCACAAAUUGUAUCAUGUCUUUCCUCAACAAAGGGGGUGUACAAACCAAGGAGCUGUUCAUUAAAAGUUGUCAUUGCAUUCAGUAGAGUGGACAAUGAAGAACUCUUUAAAUUAUUCCAUUAUUAUUUUUCUUAUAAAAUUCUCUAGAUCUGAAUUUCAUAUCCUAUGGUUGCCUUUUUGAUAUGAAAGACAUUAUUUUCUUUGAUUAUAUAUAGAGCCAUAUCAUACACUUCUCACCAAAAUUUUCAAAACAUUUUUUUUUGUCUUACAAAGUGACGAGCAUCAUAGAUAAAAUAUGUUAUGUCCAUUCCCUUAAAUAAGAUAAAGAAUAAUUUUUUCAAAAUAGCAAAAGAUGAAUGGCUAAAAUGAUAAUGAAAAGUCCAUAGUUUCUUUUGAGCUGAUGUGUUAAUUCCACCCAUGAUUAAAGAUGUCAAUAUAGGGGAGGUGGUAAUCUUCAAAUACCACAAACCCACCUUGCUCUUCAAUAAGUCCAAUAUUCCAGCCCUUCACCUUAUUAAAUAGAAAAUGAUCAUCACUGUCAAUAAUAAAAUGACAUUUCACAUCUUUUACUAAUUUCUAAGAUGAUAUAAGAUGAGUCCUAAGUAAAGUCACAUGAAGUACAUUCUUGAUACUAAUUCACCAGCCAAUAUAUUUCUGAAAAGUCGAAAACUAAGUGAUAAAGGUUUUGGGAAAUACACUCAACCAACUCCAAUAAUUUUACCAAUUAACAUCUUAGAAGAUUUCACAAAAUCUUCUAUUGAUGAAGAUCUCAAAUCCUAGCAACAUAGUAAUUUUCCUCCUAUUAUGAAAAUUUUCUUAUUUCCUCCAUAGUACAAAGUAUGAAAUUUGAAGUCACUGAAGUCAUAUGAUAUGCCAUGCUAAUGUCUGGUACUUGAUAAAUAUAAUGUUUAAUAUCUAAAAUAAUAAUUUAAUAUUAACACAUUAUCUCACUUGAGUGUUCUAAAGAAGUAGAGCCCAACAUAGACUUUAGCUUCUCCACCUCCUUUAGUUUUUCAAGAUCUUCAUUUUUAUUCGAAGUGAAAGAAUAUCUCAGAUAUAACUUAUGGAGUCACAAUAUCUCCAAAUAAUUAAUCAAUGAUAAUAUGUGCUUGUCCCUAUUGAGAGGACCUUCCAUGUAAUUUCUAACAUAUUUAAUGUGUGUGCCUUUUCCUUAUGUAGUAAUUACAUUAAAGAUUAUCUUUGGGGUCUAGCCUUGCAAACUUCUAAUAAGAAUGAAUUACUGCAUAAAGAGUAAAACUUAGUUUUGGAUUGUAAUCUCUAGAUGUCGAAUUAGACUCUCUUACCUUAGUUAUAAAGGUAGUCAUGUCCACCUUAAAUUCAACCACAAUAUAAAAUUUGCUUUCUUUUUGUAUCACAAUCUCAAUUGACUCUUCUAAAGUUGGCACCUUUUUCGUAUAUGAUAUCUAACUCUUUACUAGUUCAUAAUCAAUAUUCAAUUCCAUAAGAAUUUAUAUAAUUUCUAAUUUAGAAUAUAUGCUCUUUCCUCUAACUCUAGAUUUUUCACAGGACAAUAGUGAUAUAUUUUCCACCAUAUUGCUUUAUAUUAUCUUAUGUAUUCUAUCACACUUGUGUUCCCUUGUUGCACAUUCAUCACUUUCAUUACAAGACAAUAGAUAUGUGAAUUAUCAAAAGUCAUUGAGCAAAUAAUGUGAAAUUCAUUUCAUAACUUCUUCACAAUUGGCAUGAAACAUAUAAUCUGGAUAUACAUCCAGAGCCAUCGUACUCAAUAUCCAAGAAUGUAUCAUUAAUUCUUUCUCAUUAUAUAUAUUAUAAUAUGAAUUGUCUAGAUUAUGAGGUAAGUCAAUUAGAUAUUUGGCUUGUCUUCUUCCUCGCAAGGUCCACAAAUUGACUCAAAUGAUAAAGAUUUCUUUCAUCAAACCUUUAUUUCUCAAGAAUCAAAGAAGCCAACUUCUUGCUAGAGAAUCAAUCCAUCUUCUAGGUGAUUUUUGACAAAUUUUUAACCUUUUCAUCAAUUUUUCUGAUUUUUUUACUUUUUGUAAUUUCCUUAACAAUUUUAUAAAAUCAAAAUCAAUGUGAAAAUAUUCUCAAAAAUAUUUUUAAAAAGGAAAAACAUGUGAAAAAAUAUUUCAUCACAUUUUAUGAUUAAUAUCAACAUGUAAUUAUUAUAAAUUAUCAUCAAAAUCACAUAAAUUAUUUAAAUUUAAAAUUUUCAAAUUAAAGUAAUUUGUGGGUCUUUUUAAUUAGAAUUAAAGUAUAAAUAAAAAAUAUUAAAGAUAUUAUAAUGUAGUUAUUUAGAGUUAUCAGAUACCAUGAUAGAUUUAAUCUUGAAUUUGACCCCUAGAGGUUCCUCCUUGAUGCCACUUGCUCUCUCCCAAUCAAUUAGGGUAAGAAGAGAAACCUUUAUUUCUUGCUAAUUGGAAAAUAUAUGUCAUUUAAAUAUGAGAUAUAAGAGUUUGGUUUGGAUCUCAAGUAGAUCCAUUACAAACAUGCAAAAAGAAAAGUAACAUAGUUGCAUUCAUCUAAUAAAAGAAGACUAUUAAAAAAUCUCAUUCAACAUAGAGUAUAGCUCCCAUGAUGAUGGAGCACAUUAGUUGACUUUCUUGAUAUAUCAACUAUGCUCUUACCCUAGAGAGCCAUGCAUAUAAAAAAAAGUGCAUAUGAACAGAAGACCAAGUAUAGCCUAGAUGACGAAAUAUGAACUAUACUCUUCCCCCAAAUAGCCAAGCGCAUAAAAAAAAUUAUGUGCAUAUGAGCAAAAGAUAGAGUAUAACUUAGAUGAUGAUAAUGGAGCACCUGAAGAAAUUAAAAUAACAAUAAAUAUGCAUCAAGAGGUUGGAGAUUUGAAUAUUUCAAAAGUCAAACAUCUUUCUCAAUCUCUUAUUUAAUAAUUACAAAUCCUCAAAGACCAUAAAUAGAAAAAUACUUUAACAAGUAUUAUGGGCAUCGAUACUUGUUUAUAUAGCCUUCCUUCCUCUAGGUUCCAAAUUGGUUCAAGAGUCAACACUUUUGCUGCUAGCGUUGACCCUCAAUACGUCCAAGUGCCAUCACCAUGUAAAAUUCUUCAUUUUGGCCCAUGGGUUGACCUUUACCUCUGUGUUGUAGAAUCGCUACCCAAAUGAGUAAACUGAUGAGACCCAGUACAAGGACACGCGUAAGAGAAGAUAUGGACAACAAACCAGCUAUGGAGAGAGAGAGAGAGAGAGAGAGAGAGAGAGAGAGAGAGAGAGAGAGAGAAAUGGGUAAAAAAGUCAAACAAGUAAUUAAAAUUGGAGUCAAGAUCGCUACAAUUGGCAAACACCUUGAGCUAAAAGGGCAUCACUCUAAAAAUGUCUAAUUUUCCUCAGAAAAAGAAAAUUGCAUCAUCUAAAUAGGGUUCUUGCGGGUACACUGAGAAGACCUCAACAAAAAUCUCUGGCUCAGCCCAACCAGAGAACGGAGCCCUUCAAAAACCUGCACUUCUGAUCUUGGAGACAAAGCCCAGAUCUGCACCAGAAGCGAGCAACAGAUUGGGGCCCCUCUCAGGCUACGACCAGAAGCAGGGCCUAACCAUUCAACCUCCUCCUACUCAGGACCUGCCAAUGGAUGACCGGCAUAGCUUUGGAUGAUGAGCAAUUCAGAGCUGCCCUGAUACACAGCUUCUGUAUCUCCAAUGGGGGUGUGUAAAAGAAGCUGAAUCUCCUUCUUCAAUCUCAGAUAUUUUCAUUGCAGGGGAAGAUACAAAAGAGCAAGCAUGAAAAGGGUGCUAUUCUCUAGUAGCAGGAAGCGAAAUAUAUUGAGAUACAGGAAGAACAGGAAGAACAGGCACCAAAAAAAGAAAGAGUUCUCGUCAAGAACGGAGAUGCUCAGCAGAAGACUCCCCCUCAGUUGAAGGUUGAAAGCCUGGGGAGCUUGUCCCUCAAGUAGUACAGCCUCGCCCUCCGAACCUUCCUGUGCUUGACCACCUUUAUCUCCUUGAUGUUGGGUGAGUAGCUGCAAGGCGAGACACAUGUUGGGAGUCUCAGCAUCAAUCGCAUGCCAGUUUAUAAUCGCAAAUGGGAUAUGCAAUUGAAUAAAUAUGGGAUGCCAUAAGGGGGAAAAUAAUUGCAAGAAUUGAAACAGAAGACAGAUCGAACAAGGGGAUUAAUGGGCAGCCAGAAGAACGUCAAUCAAGAUCCCGUGCUCAAGGAGAAAUGGAACACCUGAUUUAAAAAUGUUGUUUUUUUGUGUGGAUUAUACCUCCUUAAGCCACCCACAAGAACUAUAUUCUGAUAUUCAUCACGUGAAUAUGGUUCCACUGAACAAAAUAACAGCCCCCAGAUCCCAAAUGCGAUGAGUGAUCAAAUGAAAUUAAGCAGCUUGACGAUAUAACCCAAAUUGAGACAUUGUAGAACAUGCUAAUCUUCGUUUAAUAUUUUGGUUUGAGCAAGAGCCAAAGUUGCUUCUAUAACCAAUUUUUUUUUUAUUUGGUCCAGAAUUGAAAGAAGAUAACUGCAAGAGAGAUAUUACUUAAAUUACUUUAUCUAGCAAUCCCUCGUUUGAAAAAUUAAUUCUACUAAAAAAGUGUAUGGUUACUCUGAGGUCGAUGCAUUAAUAAAUAGUAUUAAAUUUAUAACAAUUUAAUGAGUAGGUAGUACAUCUUGUUAAUUAGAUUAAAUUAAACUCUUAUUUGAUAAAAACAUAGGACUCAAAUUAAAGUAUAAAAUUACUUUUCAUUUUCCCGGAAUGUAUUACCAUUUCUGGCCUAAUUCUCCCCCUGAUGAUCAAUUCAACCUCUGAUCAAAAGAUAAACUUUGGUCGAAUCCGACCCCUUGUUUUCGCAGACUCCCUUCCUUUUCUUUAAUCUACAUAAUAAGUAUUAUCUGAACAAAAAAAAUCCCUCAUGACGGUGAUAUAUGUUGAAUUGAACAGGCAAGCUCCGAUGAAAAAGCCUUCAAAUGGCAGAACUGGCAAGGAUUAUCUGAGGGCAGAUCGUCAGGCAGGAGCCAAUAAAGGUAACUCAGACACCAAGAGCUAUGAGAUGGAGCCGACGCCAAAUGGCGUCAUCUGCUUACUCAUGGAACCAGGCGCAGCAGGAAGAGAUGAAUGGGAUCAUGCAACUCACAUUGGGAAGACAAUCUCAACGCCAAUGCCCGCGAUUAUUCUCCGAAUGCGAAUUGUCGUGUGAAUUCCAGCGUUCUGCCUCGACAUCACUAUGCCCUUGUAGAUGGAAACCCUGCGCCGGUUCUCAGGAACUUCCUGUGGAUCAGUCGCGAAAUCGACGCAGAGUCGGGAGAAUGAUUAGGGUAGAACGCUUGAGUCAAGAAGAAAAACUUGACGAUGGUCGCGGGCGUUUGAACAGGGUAAAAAGUUUGCAUCACUCACAAGUUUGAUCUCUACAAUGUCUCCCGUCCUGAGGUCCGGCACCGGCCUCGUUGUUUCAGACGCCUCAAUGGCCCUCUUGUGCAAGAUCUGCAGCGGAUUAUGCAAACUGGUCAAGAGCUCCGAAAAUCCCUACAAAGAAGUGAGGGGGAAGUAGAGAAGAAAGUGCAGGGGGCGUACCCCCAUGAUGUCCCCGAGCUUGACUAUGGGCUUCCUGGGGACCUCGGCAGCUCCCUCUUCCGAGGAUUCCUCCGCCGCGUCUUCUCCGUCUUCGACGGCGACGGCAGCGGCGUCCUCAUCCUCCGCAGCGCGGACGGCGGAGAGAAUCCCGCGCCUCGCCCCCACUGCGGGCGUGAAGCUCGCGGCGAUCCCCGCGACGGAGAGGCAAUGCGGAGCGAAGGAGGAGGAGGUCCAGGGAGGCGAGGCGAGAGAGGAGGACACGGAGAACGGCAGCCUCAGCCUCGAACGAGGCGCAGUGGUCGCCGGCAGCGACAGGAUUGCGUGGGACGGCAGCACCCCGGAGCCCAUGGCCGCUGCGCAGAGGGGGAAGAGGUGGGUAGGGUUCAGUCCUCAGGCCUGGCUUCCGAGGAGUGGAUGAGGGGGAAAAAGGGGCGACCUUAUCUGCUCCUUGGCAGCUGCGCGAGGAGCUCCCGCCCUCCGCCGCGGGUUGCAGCUGGAAUUUGGGCUUCCAACCCAACAAGGCCGGUCCACCCUCUCAAGAAGCCGGUCUCACCCACGUGGCGGUCAGCGUGCCACGUGGAUGCCACUUUGACUGACGUGUGAUAUUAUUUGUCCAUUUUCUCACUCGCAGAUCCUUUUUUUCCCAUUCAAAUUAAUCUGGACCCCGUUUUUCUGAUUUUUUUAGCAUCUAUGAAGUCUGAUCUCACCGACGUGGCACACAUGAUGGCAUGUCAUCCAUGUGGCGAUGACGUCUCAUUUGAACCCCAUUUCUACACAACUAGGAUCUCAUUACACGUGGCGCCAGGCUUACCAAUCGUCACAGUGGCGGUUCAUAUGCCCCGUCAGCAUCCAACGUGGUGGUUGACGUGUUUUUUAUUUGUCAAUUUUUGACUUGCAUAUUUAUCUAUCAAUUAAAUUGAUUUUUCAUCUCUGCAGAGAACAUACUAUGAAAUAUAAAACCCAUUUUUCUGAAUAUCCCACAUGGUGGUGCCAACGCUGACCCACCCAUCCACGUGGCAAUUUCCAUGCCUUGGUCAGCAUGCCACUUGGAAACAAAUGAUCAAAGCGCUAAUUACUUAUCCUUUUUGACCAAAAAAUUAUUCUCUCAAUAAAAUUAUUUUUGCAUCUCUACAAGUAACAUACAUAGGAAAUGUAAGCCCCAUUUUUCCAAAUUUAGGAAUUUAAAAGGGUCAAAGAAUGCCCCUUGUCAUGGCCAUGCCUCUAUCACCUCACAUCAUCAUAUCUCCAAUCUUCCUCAUUUCCAAUAGUCUCCAGCAUCAUUUCUCUAGUAUUUGGGAGGAUCUAACUCAGGUUUUAAGAAAUAAAAAAGAGUGUAGAAAUAUAUUAGACAUAAAAUUUCAUAAGGACAAAACCAAAAAUAUAUAUUAUUUAGAGCUUUUAAAAAAUCAGCUGUAAGCAUAUCUCUUCCUUUUGCAUGAUGGCAAAGUAGUAAUUUUCUAUCAUCUUAGAAUUGAUGAUAUAAAAUAAAUAUGAUGAUAUCUUAAAAAAGUCUAAAGGUGUUGAAUUAUUAAGCUAACUCAAAGUCACAUGAAAAAAAAUAGAGGGAAAAUUUGACCAAAAAUAUGAAAAUGACAAAAAGGUUUAAUAUGUGCAGCUGAUCAUUUUAAAAGCUUUAUUAAUAAUAAGUAACUAAUUUUAAAGUAUUUUCUAUCCAAGGAUUUGAUAAAUAAAUCCUGAAAUCAAAGUUAAACAUGGAUCAUCCAGUCCUAACAUUUAUACAUAAAUUUCAGAUAUUCUUGGAACCAUUUAUUGAAGGAAACAAUUUUGCCAAAUAUCUUGCUUCAAAGCCCAUGCAUUCGUGGGAGAGAUCUCUACAUAAGAUGUUGAAAGCUUGAAAAUGAUACUCACUAUUCUAUGAUGGUUUUUCUUAGUUGGUGACUAACCAUAGUACCAUGUAAUCAAUGAAUAUGCGUAUUAAAAAGCCAUCAAAUUAGAAAAAAAUGAGCGACCCUAUAAAUCAUGCUAGCAUGUUAGCAUCAUGAACCAUUGAGAAAUGAUGAGCUAAGCCUUUCCCUUCAUCAAGGAGGGAAAAACAUGUAAUUCUUCCCAAUCGUCUGUAAAAACGUGGGUUCUUUGCAUGUUACAAAAAAAAAUGUAGAUUUCGGGUAAAAAUCGUUUGACUUUUUUAGGCCAAUGUGAGAGGGCCCAAUUUGUACGUUCCUCUUAUCUCCACUUGUGCUCCAAGAACCAAAAAUAGCAUAGCUAAAUGUGGGAUUAAUGGAGAAUGAGUUGAAUUUUCCCUUGAUGUUGGAAUAUCCUUGCCUUAAUCAAGGUCAACUAAUUCCAUAAGGCAAGGGGUGGAGCUGUUUGAUUCCUAAUGAGGUGACUGGGAAGGAAAGGGGAAGAAUCCAUGUCUCUUCCCUGGGAAAGGGUGGGGCAACAAGCUUCUGCCCACCUGGUCUAUGAUGAGCGCAUUCUAUUUUAAGCCCCAAUGGAUAUAAAAGGCCCUCUAGAUCCUAUUUCAUGAGCUGUUUGACGCCCUUAGAACAGUACACGUUCUAUUUUUUUUUUCUUUCCCUUCUCAGAAUCUCAGAUCGGCUGGAGGCUUCAGAGCGAGAUUCCUUCCCUUGAGGAUUUCGUUAUGAUGUGUCUAAGUCAACGUCAGCAUAGCAUACGAUCUUGAAUGUCAACGGCUCCAACGAGGCGGGUCCCAUGGAAUGGCCUCUGGGCUGGACCCUCUCCGAAAUAAGCCUAGUAUGGCCCUCAAUCACGCCUACUAGAGAUGUUUACAACAACAAUGGAUUUUCGUGUGAAAAAUGGGUAGGGACCCUGAAACUUUAGGUCAAAUCCAUUUUUGGAUCACUUUUUUCAAAUCUGUUUGAAUUUUCUUCUUUAUUCCAAUCGCUAGAUUGGAUCUAAUUGAAUUGUCGAGACAGUUUGAGCGAGAGAGAGAGAGAGAGAGAGAGAGAGAGAGAGAGAG